CAAAGAAGAAGAUAGCGCCACUUCCAACGGUCCAGACUGACUCCGCUCAGCAAGGGAGGCCAGCAGCACCCUGCCCUGAACCAACAACCUUCUAUUUCAAUGGUGGUGAUCCAAAUCAGUGUGGAGCAGAAUGCACCAUAGAGAUGUACAAUUCUCCUGUUGAACACCUCAAGACUGUCCUGUGGGUAUUGUGUACUGUAGCGUUGUCCUGUUGAAAAACCCAGUGGUUACCACACAGACGAGGGCCCUUAGUCACGAGGGAUGCUCUCUGCAACAUCUGGACAUCACCAGCAGCUGUUUGACGCCCCUGCACCUCCUGAAGCUCCAUUGUUCCACUGAAGGAAAAAGCACCCCAGACCAUUGUGGCGCCCCCUCCACUGUGGAGCGUAGACAACAUCUCAGACUGCAAGGAAAGAACGCUAAUCUACACCGAGCAUCUGAAGAACAACAUGCAAGUCCUCAACACAUUGGAUCCAAAACCUGUUCCAGUUCCUCAGACACCAUCAGAGACUGUUUUGAAAGCCCUCUACUAUCAAGUCUGGAUAAAAAGAAACUUUGUCAUCCACUGCAAGUAUCAAGUGUUUUAAAUUUUGUUUGACUGUUUAUUAUGUACUUAUUUGUUUUUGGUUGUAUUAAGUUUGAUAUUAAUUAGAUCAGUGCCUUUUUAGUCAUUAAUUUGAUUAUUAAAUAUUAACUGUUUAAUUUAAUCAUUGUCUCUACUGGUUUUUAUUAAUGUUUCUAGCAAAUUAUGACAAAAAGUCAAAGAAUGUAACUUUUAUGCCAAUUAGCCCUAUUACGUUUAUUACCUCAUUUGUUGGACCUUAAUUUUUUUAGACAACAUUCUGGCUACAACAGCUGCCAAUAAUUUCGUGUAAAUAUGAACUUUUGAAUAAAAAGCCAUGUUUGGUAAUUUACAGCU